rnacentral:lncRNA from 10 species
AUAGAGUUGAAGAAAAACAAUUAGUAGCCAAUAGCUUGUAGAUGAUAUUUAAAGGCAUGGGACAGAAUGAGCUCAUCUGAGGAAAGAAGACAGUUACAGAACAGGGCCAAGGGCCAAGCUGUGGCCUUAAGCCAAUAUCUUGAGGUCAGGAAAAGAAGAAAUUCAACGUAAGGAAUGACAGUGAGCUAGGAAAAGCAGAAAGGAUGUGACCAACUGUGUCAAAUGCUGCUGAGACGUAAAACAUGAUGAAGUCCAAGAAUUGACUGGAGGGUCUGGUAGGACAGAGGUCAUUGCUGCUGAUCUAAAUGAAAGCUGUUUUGUAGCAAUGCUGGAGAUGCAAGCUUCAGUAAAGAUGGCCGAUACUAGGCAUGCAUGUGCAUACAGAAAAGAGAGUAACCCAAUAGUGAGGAAGAAAUUGAUGCUGCAGGAGAGAGGGAAUAAUUGCCGAAGCAAAGAUCUUGAGGUACUGAGAAAGGAUGACCCUAAUUUCCUUAAUGCUGCAGCCUGCUUCCACUGAGGGACUGGAGGCUCCUUGAGCAAAAUUAUCUACCUCUUCACCUUUGGAUCUUUCACAGUUCCCAGUUCGGUGUACUACAGAUUGUACUUGCUAAAUAAAAAAUCAUUGUCAUGGUUUACCUAAAUGCCUGAAGUGUUAAUAAUAAAAAAAAAACCCUUUAUUCCCUCCCAUACACUUUAUAAAUCUACAGGAUUAGAGAAACAGAAUCAUCUAGACAUUUCUGGUGGUAAUGGAAAAUUGUUCAACCACUCUGGAAAAUUGUUUGGCAUUUUCCUAUAAAACUAAACAUGAAAUUACCAUAUGACCCAGAAAUUGCAC